CUCCUUCGCCCAAAACACCAGCUAGCAUAAGCCCCCAGUUUGCUUCUGGACUUGUACAUCCGUACUCUGAGGGGCACCAGGGGCCACGGCCCUAUCUCGAGGCGGGUACGCAGCCCCAAGCUUGGCGCUGGUGCAGGGAUGUGGAAUUUUCCAGGAAAACUUCAAAAUCAUCACCGAGAGGGGAAGACAUUUGAAAACUGAUCUUGAAGAGGAGAAAGAAGAGGCAGGCCAGCUUCCCCAGCACGGAAACUCCAAGUCACCUGCCUGGGAAGAAGCACGGAAAAAAAAUCCCACGGCCAUGCCCUCCCUUGGAAAAAAAAAAUUCUAGGAAACAAAAUACAACGACAUCUUUUUAUUUUGUUUUUUUCGGUAAUUAUACUAAAGAUGAAAAACUCAUAAUAAACAUCUCCCAGUCCCCACCUGCUAACAGUAAUUAUAAUAGACUCAACAAUAAAUGGUAAAGCAGGGCAGAGCUGCAUCUCGGGAAUUCUCUAGGGCAUGUGGAUUAGCUCGGAAAGCCUGAAUGAUUAAAAUACACUAAUUAAAAUUUUGUGUUCCUUGGUAACUCGUCUGCCU
rnacentral:lncRNA from 1 species